rnacentral:rRNA from 1 species
CCUACGGGAGGCAGCAGUGAGGCAUAUUUGUCAAUGGACGAGAGUCUGAACCAGCCAAGUAGCGUGAAGGAUGACUGCCCUAUGGGUUGUAAACUUCUUUUAUAUGGGAAUAAAAUGUUCCACGUGUGGGAUUUUGUAUGUACCAUAUGAAUAAGGAUCGGCUAACUCCGUGCCAGCAGCCGCGGUAAUACGGAGGAUCCGAGCGUUAUCCGGAUUUAUUGGGUUUAAAGGGCGCGUAGGUGGAUUGUUAAGUCAGUUGUGAAAGUUUGCGGCUCAACCGUAAAAUUGCAGUUGAAACUGGCAGUCUUGAGUACAGUAGAGGUGGGCGGAAUUCGUGGUGUGGCGGUGAAAUGCUUAGAUAUCACGAAGAACUCCGAUUGCGAAGGCAGUUCACUGGACUGCAACUGACACUGAGGCUCGAAAGUGUGGGUAUCAAACAGGAUUAGAUACCCCAGUAGUC